UAGGGAAUCUUCCGCAAUGGACGCAAGUCUGACGGAGCAACGCCGCGUGAGUGAAGAAGGUCUUCGGAUCGUAAAGCUCUGUUGUUAGAGAAGAACAGCGCAUAGAGUAACUGUUAUGCGUGUGACGGUAUCUAACCAGAAAGCCACGGCUAACUACGUGCCAGCAGCCGCGGUAAUACGUAGGUGGCGAGCGUUGUCCGGAUUUAUUGGGCGUAAAGGGAGUGUAGGCGGUCUUUUAAGUCUGAUGUGAAAGCCCACGGCUCAACCGUGGAGGGUCAUUGGAAACUGGGAGACUUGAGUGCAGAAGAGGAGAGCGGAAUUCCAUGUGUAGCGGUGAAAUGCGUAGAUAUAUGGAGGAACACCAGUGGCGAAGGCGGCUCUCUGGUCUGUAACUGACGCUGAGGCUCGAAAGCGUGGGGAGCAAACAGGAUUAGAUACCCUGGUAGUCCACGCCGUAAACGAUGAGUGCUAAGUGUUGGAGGGGUUCCACCCUUCAGUGCUGGAGUUAACGCAAUAAGCACUCCGCCUGGGGAGUACGGCCGCAAGGCU
rnacentral:rRNA from 1 species